rnacentral:rRNA from 1 species
GGAACUGAGACACGGUCCAGACUCCUACGGGAGGCAGCAGUGGGGAAUAUUGCACAAUGGAGGAAACUCUGAUGCAGCCAUGCCGCGUGUGUGAAGAAGGCCUUCGGGUUGUAAAGCACUUUCAGUUGUGAGGAAAGGUUAGUAGUUAAUACCUGCUAGCUGUGACGUUAACAACAGAAGAAGCACCGGCUAACUCCGUGCCAGCAGCCG